CUAAUACUGCAAGUUGAACGAGAUUGAGUGAGGUGCUUGCACCACACUCAAAUCUAGUGGCGAAUGGGUGAGUAACACGUGAGAAAUCUGCCCUUUAGACUGGGAUAACUACUGGAAACGGUUUGUAAUACCGGAUGUGUGCAAUUAGUCGCAUGACUUUUUGCAGAAAGCUUAGAUGCACUAAAGGAUGAUCUCGCGGCGUAUUAGCUAGUUGGUGAGGUAGUAGCUCACCAAGGCAAUGAUACGUAGCCGACCUGAGAGGGUGACCGGCCACACUGGGACUGAGACACGGCCCAGACUCCUACGGGAGGCAGCAGUAGGGGAUCAUCGGCAAUGGAGGAAACUCUGACCGUGCGAUGCCGCGUGAGUGAUGAAGGCCUUCGGGUUGUAAAGCUCUGUUGUGAAGGAAGAACCACCUAGAUAGAAUCUAGGCCUGACGGUACUUCACCAGAAAGCCAUGGCUAACUACGUGCCAGCAGCCGCGGUAAUACGUAGAUGGCGAGCGUUAUCCGGAUUUAUUGGGCGUAAAGGGUGCUCAGCUGGUCUAUUAAGUUUGUAGUUAAAAUUCGAAGCUUAACUUCGAAGUGCUGCGAAAACUGGUAGACUUGAGGACAAGAGAGGGUAGUGGAAUUCCAUGUGAAGCGGUAAAAUGCGUAGAUAUAUGGAGGAACACCAGUGGCGAAGGCGGCUACCUGGCUUGUCUCUGACGGUCAAGCACGAAAGCGUGGGGGAGCAAAUAGGAUUAGAUACCCUAGUAGUCCACGCUGUAAACGAUGAAUACUAAGUGUCGGGGGAACUCGGUGCUACAGUUAACGCAAUAAGUAUUCCCCCUGGGGAGUAUGCCCGCAAGCGUAAACUCAAAGGAUUGACGGAAGGCCAAUUCUGCAAAUUU
rnacentral:rRNA from 1 species